CCCUUAGAUGUUCUGGGCCGCACGCGCGCUACACUGUUCGACGCAGCGAGUCUUAACCUUGACCGAAAGGUUUGGGUAAUCUUCAGCAAAGUCGAACGUGAUGGGGAUCGAUCAUUGCAAUUAUUGAUCGUGAACGAGGAAUUCCUAGUAAGUGCAAGUCAUCAGCUUGCGCUGACUACGUCCCUGCCCUUUGUACACACCGCCCGUCGCUACUACCGAUUGAAUGGUUUAGUGAGAUCUCUGGAUUGACGCUGGCUAGGGGGCGACCCUUGGCCAGGCUGUCGAGAAACUGCUCAAACUUGAUCAUUUAGAGGAAGUAAAAGUCGUAACA
rnacentral:rRNA from 1 species